rnacentral:rRNA from 1 species
CAACGCCGGAAAUCUUACCGGGACCGACAGCAAUAUGAAGGCCAGGCUGAAGACUUUGCCGGAUUAGCUGAGAGGUGGUGCAUGGCCGUCGUCAGUUCGUACUGUGAAGCAUCCUGUUAAGUCAGGCAACGAGCGAGACCCACGCCCACAGUUGCCAGCGUACUCUCUGGAGUGACGGGUACACUGUGGGACCGCCGCUGCUAAAGCGGAGGAAGGAAUGGGCAACGGUAGGUCAGUAUGCCCCGAAUAUCCCGGGCUACACGCGAGCUACAAUGGUUGGUACAAUGGGUAUCUACCCCGAAAGGGGACGGGAAUCUCCUAAAACCAAUCUUAGUUCGGAUUGAGGGCUGCAACUCGCCCUCAUGAAGCUGGAAUCCGUAGUAAUCGCGUUUCAACAGAACGCGGUGAAUACGUCCCUGCUCCUU